rnacentral:rRNA from 1 species
AUUGAACGCUGGCGGCAUGCUUUACACAUGCAAGUCGAACGGUAACAGGCCGCAAGGUGCUGACGAGUGGCGAACGGGUGAGUAAUGCAUCGGAACGUGCCCAGUCGUGGGGGAUAACGCAGCGAAAGCUGUGCUAAUACCGCAUACGAUCUAUGGAUGAAAGCGGGGGACCGUAAGGCCUCGCGCGAUUGGAGCGGCCGAUGUCAGAUUAGGUAGUUGGUGGGGUAAAGGCCUACCAAGCCGACGAUCUGUAGCUGGUCUGAGAGGACGACCAGCCACACUGGGACUGAGACACGGCCCAGACUCCUACGGGAGGCAGCAGUGGGGAAUUUUGGACAAUGGGCGCAAGCCUGAUCCAGCAAUGCCGCGUGCAGGAAGAAGGCCUUCGGGUUGUAAACUGCUUUUGUACGGAACGAAACGGUCUGGGUUAAUACCCUGGGCUAAUGACGGUACCGUAAGAAUAAGCACCGGCUAACUCUGUGCCAGCAGCCGCCGUAAAAC